rnacentral:rRNA from 1 species
CAAGAUAAGAUUUCCCACCGCAAGGGUAAGACCCCAGAAAGACUAUCUGGUUGAUAGGUCGAAGGUGUAAGUGCAGCAAUGUAUUUAGCUUAUCGAUACUAAUAGGUCGAGGACUUGACCAAUAUUAUUUGAUGUUAUUCAUUAAGAUAUAUGUGCAGUUUUUAGAGUGUUAACUCUAUGUAAAGUACUAACUUCAAUUGAUGAAGUAUAUAUCGUAAAAACAAUUACUAUUUAGUACUUCAAAACUAUUGACAUUUAAAAAUAAAGAUGUUAAUAUAAUACUUGUCUUAUAAAUAGGCAAUAUGUGGUUAUAAUAGCAAAGAGGAUACACCUGUUCCCAUUCCGAACACAGAAGUUAAGCUCUUUAGCGCUGAUGGUACUUGGUGGGAAACUGCCUGGGAGAGUAGGACGUAGCCACGUGAAUAUUCCAAGGUAGCUCAAUGGUGGAGCAACCGGCUGUUAACCGGUAGGCUGUGGGUUCGAGCCCCACCCUUGGAGCCAAAAAAAGCCGAAGUGGCGGAACUGGCAGACGCACAGGACUUAAAAUCCUGCGGGACUUACCUCUCGUACCGGUUCGAUUCCGGUCUUCGGCACUUAUAAAACAAUAUCGCGGAGUGGAGCAGUUGGCAGCUCGUCGGGCUCAUAACCCGAAGGUCGUAGGUUCAAGUCCUGCCUCCGCAACCAUUAAAAUGGCUCGUUGGUCAAGAGGUUAAGACACCGCCCUUUCACGGCGGUAACAGGGGUUCAAUUCCCCUACGAGUCACCAAUUAAAUAUGCGGGUGUAGCUCAAUGGUAGAGUUCUGGCCUUCCAAGCCAGCUGUGAGGGUUCGAUCCCCUUCACCCGCUCCAAAAAUGGGACCAUAGCUCAGCUGGGAGAGCACCUGCCUUACAAGCAGGGGGUCACAGGUUCGAGCCCUGUUGGUCCCACCAUUUGCGGCCUGGUAGUUCAGUUGGUUAGAAUGCCAGCCUGUCACGCUGGAGGUCGAGGGUUCGANUCUUGGUACUACAUGUACAGGAUAGGUGGGAGGCUUUGAAACCAGGACGCCAGUUUUGGCGGAGCCAUCCUUGGGAUACCACCCUUGUAGUACUGGGACUCUAACCAUAGGCCAUGAAUCUGGUCUUGGGACACUGUCAGGUGGGCAGUUUGACUGGGGCGGUCGCCUCCCAAAAGGUAACGGAGGCGCUCAAAGGUUCUCUCAGUACGGUCGGAAAUCGUACGUAGAGUGUAAAGGCAAAAGAGAGCUUGAUUGCAAGACAUACAGGUCGAGCAAGGAUGAAAAUCGGACUUAGUGAUCCGGUGGUUCUGCGUGGAAGGGCCAUCGCUCAACGGAUAAAAGCUACCCUGGGGAUAACAGGCUUAUCUCCCCCAAGAGUCCACAUCGACGGGGAGGUUUGGCACCUCGAUGUCGGCUCAUCACAUCCUGGGGCUGUAGUAGGUCCCAAGGGUUGGGCUGUUCGCCCAUUAAAGUGGUACGCGAGCUGGGUUCAGAACGUCGUGAGACAGUUCGGUCCCUAUCCGUCGCAGGCGUAGGAAAUUUGAGAAGACCUGUCCUUAGUACGAGAGGACCGGGAUGGACGUACCUCUGGUGUACCAGUUGUCCUGCCAAGGGCAUGGCUGGGUAGCUAUGUACGGAAUGGAUAAGCGCUGAAAGCAUCUAAGCGCGAAGCCAACUUCAAGAUAAGAUUUCCCACCGCAAGGGUAAGACCCCAGAAAGACUAUCUGGUUGAUAGGUCGAAGGUGUAAGUGCAGCAAUGUAUUUAGCUUAUCGAUACUAAUAGGUCGAGGACUUGACC